AUGGAAUGGCUGUGGAAUUUGCUAUUCCUCAUGGCAGCAGCCCAAAGUAUCCAAGCACAGAUCCAGUUGGUGCAGUCUGGACCUGAACUGAAGAAGCCUGGAGAGACAGUCAAGAUCUCCUGCAAGGCUUCUGGGUAUACCUUCACAACUGCUGGAAUGCAGUGGAUGCAACAGACACCAGGAAAGGGUUUUAAAUGGAUUGGCUGGAUAAACACCUACUCUGGAGAGCCAAAAUAUGCAGAAGACUUCAAGGGACGGUUUGCCUUCUCUUUGGAAACCUCUGCCAGCACUGCAUAUUUGCAGAUAAGCAACCUCAAAAAUGAGGACUCAGCUAUGUAUUUCUGUGCGAGACACAGUGUGAAAACCACAUCCUGA